UACGAGGGGGGCAAGCGUUGUUCGGAAUUAUUGGGCGUAAAGGGUGCGUAGGCGGUCUGACAAGUCUGAUGUGAAAUCUAUGGGCUCAACCCGUAGUCUGCAUCGGAAACUGUCGGGCUUGAGUAUGGGAGAGGUGAGUGGAAUUUCCGGUGUAGCGGUGAAAUUCGUAGAUAUUCGCAAGAACACCAGUGGCGAAGGCGGCUCACUGGCCCGGUACUGACGCUGAGGUGCGAAAGCGUGGGGAGCAAACAGG
rnacentral:rRNA from 1 species